CUUCAAUUUCACAGGCAAAAAUCACAACCGAACGGAGAGGAGGUCACAGACGCGGAUGUUUCUUUAAAUGAGGUCUCUGAAAAGAUGAAGAAAAGAGAAAAAAAUAAAAGUUACAAAGAGCGGGUAAACUCAGUGUACUAUGAGUGGUUUACAGAUCACCCACCACAGAGGAAACCAUCCACUUCAGAUUGUACAGUAUUGUACAAAUAUAUGGACUAGUCUAAAACAAAGAACUUUAGUCUUGUUUCAGUAAUAAGAAAUGUCUUAAUAACGCAUUAUAGUGAGUUCUAAGUGCAAACACCGUUUGUUUUCAUUGGUCACGAUAAGAGGGCCAUAAGAGGGCGCUGUUGCACUACAUCACUAAUAAGGUGAGCUUCAUAAAUAACAAAUAUUAAACGAAUAGUUACAACUAAAAAAAAAAA